GCCGAGCUCUUCUCCAUGCUGGGGCUGGGCACGCCAUCCAUGCCCUUGGCCGAGCGCCCCGCAGGCAGUGCCAGCCCCUUGCUGUGGCCGUGCAGGCUCUGCCCGCAGAUGCGGUGGUGCCUCUCCCAGUCCUUGUGCUGGCAGAAGGAGCCGCAGUAGCGCGCGAUGUUGCAGCCGCUGCACGUCUCACUGGCCUUACGGCCGCAGUUCCAGCAGCUCUCCGUGGACU
rnacentral:lncRNA from 1 species